GACGGAGGAUGCAAGCGUUAUCCGGAAUGAUUGGGCGUGAAGCGUCCGCAGGUGGCAGUUCAAGUCUGCUGUCAAAGACCGGGGCUUAACUUCGGAAAGGCAGUGGAAACUGAACAGCUAGAGUAUGGUAGGGGCAGAGGGAAUUCCUGGUGUAGCGGUGAAAUGCGUAGAGAUCAGGAAGAACAUCGGUGGCGAAGGCGCUCUGCUGGACCAUAACUGACACUCAGGGACGAAAGCUAGGGGAGCGAAUGGG
rnacentral:rRNA from 1 species